rnacentral:hammerhead_ribozyme from 1 species
AUCUAUCUGACGAGUCCCAGAUAGGACGAAACGCUCAUCGAACUGGAU